rnacentral:rRNA from 1 species
GUGAGGAAUAUUGGACAAUGGGCGCAAGCCUGAUCCAGCCAUGCCGCGUGCAGGAAGACGCAUCUAUGGUGUGUAAACUGCUUUUGUACGGGAAGAAACACUCCCUCGUGAGGGAGCUUGACGGUACCGUAAGAAUAAGGAUCGGCUAACUCCGUGCCAGCAGCCGCGGUAAUACGGAGGAUCCAAGCGUUAUCCGGAAUCAUUGGGUUUAAAGGGUCCGUAGGCGGUUUAAUAAGUCAGUGGUGAAAGCCCAUCGCUCAACGAUGGAACGGCCAUUGAUACUGUUAGACUUGAAUUACAAGGAAGUAACUAGAAUAUGUAGUGUAGCGGUGAAAUGCUUAGAUAUUACAUGGAAUACCAAUUGCGAAGGCAGGUUACUACUUGUGGAUUGACGCUGAUGGACGAAAGCGUGGGGAGCGAACAGGAUUAGAUACCCUAGUAGCCC